UGCAGUCGAGCGGGGGAGGUUGCUUCGGUAACUGACCUAGCGGCGGACGGGUGAGUAAUACUUAGGAAUCUGCCUAUUAAUGGGGGACAACAUCUCGAAAGGGAUGCUAAUACCGCAUACGCCCUACGGGGGAAAGCAGGGGAUCACUUGUGACCUUGCGUUAAUAGAUGAGCCUAAGUCGGAUUAGCUAGUUGGUGGGGUAAAGGCCUACCAAGGCGACGAUCUGUAGCGGGUCUGAGAGGAUGAUCCGCCACACUGGGACUGAGACACGGCCCAGACUCCUACGGGAGGCAGCAGUGGGGAAUAUUGGACAAUGGGGGGAACCCUGAUCCAGCCAUGCCGCGUGUGUGAAGAAGGCCUUAUGGUUGUAAAGCACUUUAAGCGAGGAGGAGGCUCUCUUGGUUAAUACCCAAGAUGAGUGGACGUUACUCGCAGAAUAAGCACCGGCUAACUCUGUGCCAGCAGCCGCGGUAAUACAGAGGGUGCGAGCGUUAAUCGGAUUUACUGGGCGUAAAGCGUGCGUAGGCGGCUUUUUAAGUCGGAUGUGAAAUCCCCGAGCUUAACUUGGGAAUUGCAUUCGAUACUGGGAAGCUAGAGUAUGGGAGAGGGAUGGUAGAAUUCCAGGUGUAGCGGUGAAAUGCGUAGAGAUCUGGAGGAAUACCGAUGGCGAAGGCAGCCAUCUGGCCUAAUACUGACGCUG
rnacentral:rRNA from 1 species